rnacentral:miRNA from 1 species
UCCUUAACUCAUGCCACUGUGC